GGGGCACGCCAGCAUCAGCCUGGGUGUCACUGGGAUCCCACCGGGAUCCGGGAAGGGUCAGCGGGGCACACCGGGAUCAGCCGCGGGACUGCCAGCAUCUCCUCCAGGUCAGCCCUGCACCUCCAGGAUCUCCUCCAGGUCAGGACUGCAUCACCAGGAUCUCCUCCAGGUCAGCCCUGCGCCACCAGGAUCUCCUCCAGGUCAGCCCUGCACCUCCAGGAUCUCCUCCAGGUCAGCCCUGCACCUCCAGGAUCUCCUCCAGGUCAGCCCUGCACCUCCAGGUCAGCCCUGCACCACCACCAGGAACUCCUGGUUAGCCCUUCCACCCCCAGGAUCUCCCCCAGGUCAGCCCUGCACCCCCAGGAUCUCCUCCAGGUCAGCCCUACAUCACCAGGAUCUCCUCCAGGUCAGCCCCGCACCCCCAGGAUCUCCUCACGAUCACGCCUGGGUCACUCCCAGGAUCACCAGGAUCAGCCAUGGGAUCACUAAAUCUCCAUGGGAUCACCAGGACCAUACCAGGCUGACCCUUGGGAUCACCAGGGCCACUCCAGGUUCAGCCAUGCUAUUCCCAGGAUCUCAGCAUGAUUCCCCUGGGUCCCACACCAGGAUUAGCUGCAGGAUCUCCUUGGGAUCACCCCUGGGAUCCUCAGCAUCUCACCAGGAGCAGGUGGGAGAUCACCAGGGCCACACCUGGGUCAUUUCCCAUCUUCCUGGUCCCUGGGAGAGCUCCUCCAUGGAAUGGUGCUGGAGCACUUCAGGAGACCCAGCAUGGAAUCCUCCAAACCACAUUUACAGAUUCCAAUAUUGAGAUUUUGGGGAAUUUCCCAGAUUUGGGGGCAUGGUGUGGGCAGGAGGGACCCACAGGGAUGAGGUGGGAAGCAGAGGAGGGGUGGAUAUGGGGAAGGACAAAGGAAGGUUUAGUUCCAGUCGUGUGGAAGCGUUUUCCUGGGAAAUCCAGCCUGGCCUGAAUUCCCAGCAGCUUCUGGAACCUCUGGAAUUGGAUCAUGACAAGGAAAAAGUGAUUUCUGGGAUGUUCUCCAGCGCCCUUCCAGGGGCCAGCUGCUGUUGUGGGGACAGAAGGAAGCUCCAACAAAUUCAAACAAACUGAGCCCAUGGAUCCGUUCCCUCUCCCAGUUCUCCAUGGAGCUGGGGCUGGCCUGGGGAAAAUCUGGGGUGCCUGAAUUGGGGAUGCUCCCACCAUCCGUGGCUGCUGCUGGUUUUGGCAGCAGGAUGUUCCUGACAGCUGGGGGUGCUGACUUUGGGGCUUUCAGCAUUCUCCUGCCAGAUCCCAGAUCCUUCUGAGGGAGCUGCAGGGGCUGAUCCUGGAGAAGAGGAGGCUCAGGGGGCACCUUCUGGCUCCUGCAGUUCCCUGGAAGGAGGAAGGUUGGAGCCAGGAGCGGUCGGGCUCUGUUCCCAGGGAACAGGACCAGAGGGCAGGGCCUCAAGGGCAGGUUCAGGUGGAAUAUUGGGAAUGUUCCUCCUGGAAAGGGCUCUCCAAGAGAGAGAGAGAGAUCUCAAACUCUGCAAAGCUGCCCAGGGCAGGGGUGGUGGCCCAUCCCUGCAGGGAUUGAAAAACCCUGUGGAUGUGGCACUUGGGGACAUGGUCAGGGGUGGCAUUGGCAGUGCUGAGGAAUGGUUGGACUCGAUCUUGGAGGGCUUUUCCAACCAAAACCAUUCUGUGAUUCCCCAGAAAUGAAUCUUUGUUUCAUUCCCUUCUCCAGGCAGAUCCAACAGGCCAAGCCAUGAGUUGUUGCUCCAGUGGGAACAAGCCCAGGAGAGCUGCAGCUCCAGCACCAGGAGAGAGGGAAUCAGGAGCAGCCUGGGUUACCCACAGCAGCCUCUGUGCUGUGAUCCUGCCUUUUCCAGAGGCUCAGGAACACCAGCUGGGUCUGCCUGGCUCCUGCCCUGUGCAAACAGCGCCAUCGAUCCCCAGUAACUCCCUGCCUGCCCAAAGGUUGUGUGGGUCGCUUCUCCUGCUGUUUAUUUUUGUAAAUCGAUGGUGGACGCGAGCAGGGGGCACUUGCUGAGGUGCCAUUCCUUGGGGAAUGCUGGGAUGCAGGCUAUGAGAUGGACAGGAAGGUCAGGGCUUUCUUCUUGUCAGCAUCCGGGAGCAGUCCAGGUUUCCUGUGCAUGCUCUGGAGGGAAUCCAGGGAGCUGCUGAAGCUUUGCUGGGAACAGGGAACACAAAGGGGUCACUGAGCUCAGCUCGGCUCUCAGAGCACAGUUCUCACCUGUAAAAACUUUUUUUUUUUUCUGAAAAAUAAAACCAAAUUCCUUCUCA